GCAACUGUUACCCAGCAACCAUCAAUGAUAGAACCCUGGCCCUGUUUGAGCAGGAAUAACUGUCCUUCUGGCCUUCCUCUUCCCUGGGAGUUACCAACCUCUCCUCCUGUGCCUUUCAAAGCAACCCAAGAAAAGUGUCAGGAGAUAAGGAUCAGAUGAGGAUCUGGGGCCCAAUUCUCAUUCAGCCUGAAGCUCCCUGGGGGGAAUUGGGGCCAAUCUCUUGCUAUCUACUGGCUUUUGGCCAAAGGCAUUCAAGACUCUUCAGAAAUGGAUUGCGAGAACGCCUGAACUGAGAAAUUGACACAAGAUUGAGCGGAGGCGAAUGCACUGUUUAACGAGAAGAAGGCAGAUCACCAAAGACGGUGGGAGUCCUGUGAUGAGGUUGGGAGGUCGGGAGAAGCUAAGAAGAAGGAGAGAAGAGACUCUACAGUGGGAGAACCACUUUGGGAAGAGCAGGAUCAGCCCCUUUAUCAUUUCGGUUUGCCUCUUCUGCUGCACCUUCUUCAGUUCGACAGUAUCGCUUUUUUGGUAAUCUGGCGACCGGAACGAUACACUUUACUUCUGAGCAACAGCUACAAAUGGAAACAAGGUCAGCUUCAUGUUGUUGUUGUUGUUGUUGUUGUUGUUGUUAUAGCCCAGUAAGCUUCAAGACCACCUUGGGUUUAUUCUCUCUUUUUGACAGUUAAAGCACCACAUUUUCAUUGAUGCCAGGAGAUGUUGAACAGUAGGGCACACAUCCUGGGGUGCCUCUGUUAUGGCACAAGAGAUAUUCCCAGACUGAUUGGGCAGGGUUUGGACCACAAUGUGUGUCUGGACAUUUAAAUUUGCAUUCUGAUUGGGCAAGACCUCUAGGGUUUUUAAAUUCUGUCUUGAUCGAAUUGGGCAAGAUCUCUAGGAUUUUUAAAUUGUAUAUGGAAUUGGGCAAGAUCAAGGCCUGUGUGGGCCUCGAUUUUUAAAUUGUAUCCCCCAGCUUGACCUUUACAAUUGUAUUCUGAUUGGGCAAGACCUCUAGGGUUUUUAAAUUCUGUAUGGAAUUGGGCAAGAUCAGGGCCUGUGUGGGCCUCGAUUUUUAAAUUGCAUCCCCCAGCUUGACCCUUACAAUUGUAUUCUGAUUGGGCAAGACCUCUAGGGUUUUUAAAUUCUGUAUGGAAUUAGGCAAGAUCAGGGCCUGUGUGGGCCUCGAUUUUUAAAUUGCAUCCCCCAGCUUGACCUUUACAAUUGUAUUCUGAUUGGGCAAGACCUCUAGGGUUUUUAAAUUCUGUAUGGAAUUGGGCAAGAUCAGGGCCUGUGUGGGCCUCGAUUUUUAAAUUGCAUCCCCCAGCUUGACUGAGCACACAAUCUCUAGGUUCCCUUAGAGUGAAUUGGGCAUGAUACCCUUUUUUUAAAAUUCCAUGUUUGGGCAGCUUUAAGC